rnacentral:rRNA from 1 species
AGUGAACGCUGGCGGUAGGCCUAACACAUGCAAGUCGAACGGCAGCACAGUAAGAGCUUGCUCUUACGGGUGGCGAGUGGCGGACGGGUGAGGAAUACAUCGGAAUCUACUUUUUCGUGGGGGAUAACGUAGGGAAACUUACGCUAAUACCGCAUACGACCUACGGGUGAAAGCAGGGGAUCUUCGGACCUUGCGCGAUUGAAUGAGCCGAUGUCGGAUUAGCUGGUUGGUGGGGUAAAGGCCCACCAAGGCGACGAUCCGUAGCUGGUCUGAGAGGAUGAUCAGCCACACUGGAACUGAGACACGGUCCAGACUCCUACGGGAGGCAGCAGUGGGGAAUAUUGGACAAUGGGCGCAAGCCUGAUCCAGCCAUACCGCGUGGGUGAAGAAGGCCUUCGGGUUGUAAAGCCCUUUUGUUGGGAAAGAAAAGCAGCAGGUUAAUACCCCGCUGUUCUGACGGUACCCAAAGAAUAAGCACCGGCUAACUUCGUG